UCAUCAGGAGUGUCCAAAAGCU
rnacentral:siRNA from 1 species